rnacentral:rRNA from 1 species
CUGCGAAAAGCGCCGGCGAGGUGAUAUGAACCUUUGACCCGGCGAUGUCCGAAUGGGGAAACCCAGUGCAAUCCGUUGCACUAUCGUUAACUGAAUACAUAGGUUAACGAGGCGAACCGGGGGAACUGAAACAUCUAAGUACCCCGAGGAAAAGAAAUCAACCGAGAUUCCCCCAGUAGCGGCGAGCGAACGGGGAGCAGCCCGGAGUCUGAAUCAGCUUGUGUGUUAGUGGAACGGUCUGGAAAGUCCGACGGUACAGGGUGAUAGUCCCGUACACGAAAGCACACAUGCUGUGAACUCGAAGAGUAGGGCGGGACACGUGGUAUCCUGUCUGAAUAUGGGGGGACCAUCCUCCAAGGCUAAAUACUCCUGACUGACCGAUAGUGAACCAGUACCGUGAGGGAAAGGCGAAAAGAACCCCGGCGAGGGGAGUGAAAAAGAACCUGAAACCGUGUACGUACAAGCAGUGGGAGCCUCUUUAUGGGGUGACUGCGUACCUUUUGUAUAAUGGGUCAGCGACUUAUAUUCUGUAGCAAGGUUAACCGUAUAGGGGAGCCGAAGGGAAACCGAGUCUUAACUGGGCGUUAAGUUGCAGGGUAUAGACCCGAAACCCGGUGAUCUAGCCAUGGGCAGGUUGAAGGUUGGGUAACACUAACUGGAGGACCGAACCGACUAAUGUUGAAAAAUUAGCGGAUGACCUGUGGCUGGGGGUGAAAGGCCAAUCAAACCGGGAGAUAGCUGGUUCUCCCCGAAAGCUAUUUAGGUAGCGCCUCGUGAACUCAUCUUCGGGGGUAGAGCACUGUUUCGGCUAGGGGGCCAUCCCGGCUUACCAACCCGAUGCAAACUACGAAUACCGAAGAAUGUUAUCACGGGAGACACACGGCGGGUGCUAACGUCCGUCGUGAAGAGGGAAACAACCCAGACCGCCAGCUAAGGUCCCAAAGUCAUGGUUAAGUGGGAAACGAUGUGGGAAGGCACAGACAGCCAGGAUGUUGGCUUAGAAGCAGCCAUCAUUUAAAGAAAGCGUAAUAGCUCACUGGUCGAGUCGGCCUGCGCGGAAGAUGUAACGGGGCUAAACCAUGCACCGAAGCUGCGGCAGCGACACUAUGUGUUGUUGGGUAGGGGAGCGUUCUGUAAGCCGUUGAAGGUGUCCUGUGAGGGGUGCUGGAGGUAUCAGAAGUGCGAAUGCUGACAUAAGUAACGAUAAAGCGGGUGAAAAGCCCGCUCGCCGGAAGACCAAGGGUUCCUGUCCAACGUUAAUCGGGGCAGGGUGAGUCGACCCCUAAGGCGAGGCCGAAAGGCGUAGUCGAUGGGAAACAGGUUAAUAUUCCUGUACUUGGUGUUACUGCGAAGGGGGGACGGAGAAGGCUAUGUCAGCCGGGCGACGGUUGUCCCGGUUUAAGCAUGUAGGCGGAGGUUCCAGGUAAAUCCGGUACCUUAUUAACGCUGAGGUGUGAUGACGAGGCACUACGGUGCUGAAGUGAUAAAUGCCCUGCUUCCAGGAAAAGCCUCUAAGCAUCAGGUAACACGAAAUCGUACCCCAAACCGACACAGGUGGUCAGGUAGAGAAUACCAAGGCGCUUGAGAGAACUCGGGUGAAGGAACUAGGCAAAAUGGUGCCGUAACUUCGGGAGAAGGCACGCUGAUGUGUAGGUGAAGUCCCUGCGGACGGAGCUGAAAUCAGUCGAAGAUACCAGCUGGCUGCAACUGUUUAUUAAAAACACAGCACUGUGCAAACACGAAAGUGGACGUAUACGGUGUGACGCCUGCCCGGUGCCGGAAGGUUAAUUGAUGGGGUUAGCGGCAACGCGAAGCUCUUGAUCGAAGCCCCGGUAAACGGCGGCCGUAACUAUAACGGUCCUAAGGUAGCGAAAUUCCUUGUCGGGUAAGUUCCGACCUGCACGAAUGGCGUAAUGAUGGCCAGGCUGUCUCCACCCGAGACUCAGUGAAAUUGAACUCGCUGUGAAGAUGCAGUGUACCCGCGGCAAGACGGAAAGACCCCGUGAACCUUUACUAUAGCUUGACACUGAACACUGGUCCUUGAUGUGUAGGAUAGGUGGGAGGCUUUGAAGCGUGGACGCCAGUCUGCGUGGAGCCAACCUUGAAAUACCACCCUUUAAUGGCUGGUGUUCUAACGUAGACCCGUGAUCCGGGUUGCGGACAGUGUCUGGUGGGUAGUUUGACUGGGGCGGUCUCCUCCCAAAGAGUAACGGAGGAGCACGAAGGUUGGCUAAUCCUGGUCGGACAUCAGGAGGUUAGUGCAAUGGCAUAAGCCAGCUUGACUGCGAGCGUGACGGCGCGAGCAGGUGCGAAAGCAGGUCAUAGUGAUCCGGUGGUUCUGAAUGGAAGGGCCAUCGCUCAACGGAUAAAAGGUACUCCGGGGAUAACAGGCUGAUACCGCCCAAGAGUUCAUAUCGACGGCGGUGUUUGGCACCUCGAUGUCGGCUCAUCACAUCCUGGGGCUGAAGUAGGUCCCAAGGGUAUGGCUGUUCGCCAUUUAAAGUGGUACGCGAGCUGGGUUUAGAACGUCGUGAGACAGUUCGGUCCCUAUCUGCCGUGGGCGCUGGAGAAUUGAGGGGGGCUGCUCCUAGUACGAGAGGACCGGAGUGGACGCAUCACUGGUGUUCGGGUUGUCAUGCCAAUGGCACUGCCCGGUAGCUAAAUGCGGAAAAGAUAAGUGCUGAAAGCAUCUAAGCACGAAACUUGCCCCGAGAUGAGUUCUCCCUGAGACCUUGAGUCUCCUGAAGGAACGUUGAAGACGACGACGUUGAUAGGUCGGGUGUGUAAGCGCAGCGAUGCGUUGAGCUAACCGAUACUAAUGAACCGUGAGGCUUAACCUUACAACGCCGAAGCUGUU